rnacentral:rRNA from 1 species
UACAUAGGGUGCAAGCGUUGUCCGGAAUUAUUGGGCGUAAAGAGCUCGUAGGUCGUUAGUUACGUCGGAUGUGAAAUUUUGGGCCUCAACCCCAAACCUGCAUUCGAUACGGGCUAACUAGAGUUUGGUAGGGGAGACUGGAAUUCCUGGUGUAGCGGUGGAAUGCGCAGAUAUCAGGAGGAACACCAAUGGCGAAGGCAGGUCUCUGGGCCAAUACUGACACUGAGGAGCGAAAGCGCGGGGAGCGAACAGG